GAACUGGAGCUCAAACAGACUCAAACUCUUCUUCUGCUCUUUUCUCAGACUCGGUGCUCGGAGGCCGGAAAGGUUCCAGGAAGUGUCCGGAGCUGAUCCGUAGAAAUGAGCAGGAUCAGCGUCUCGGUGGGCGGAGGCCUGCAUCUUUACUUUGAGCGACGGCUCCAUCUGUCAACACCAGCGGCCAAAUGUCAGUUAAACUGCAGCUGAGACUCCGGCGGGAAGCGGCUCGCUGUGAUUUGACUCAUUUAUUUUUUAUCACCGCGCCGUCAUUUCACUGUGGCAGUUUUCAGCCGCCGCUGAGGAAAAGGUCAACGUCUGGAUCAACCACUCAGCCCCCGAUCCUCGGAGAUGCUUAAUGAAACCAUUUUCUUCUGUCUCCAAAAAUGUGGCCCUGAAAAAUAAGAACUUUUCCUGCUCCUGCUGUCUCCUUGAGUAGAAUAUUCGGACCUGUCUCCAGCUGAAGAACUGAACAUGAGCCGACGUGUUCUCUGCCACAGGAGUCUGUGUCUCUGCUGACGUGAGAGAACAGAAGCGUGUUUGUUCUCUGUGCAGCUCUUUGAUGAGAAAGCCGCAGUAACGACAUCUCUGGACAUGAAUCAUUCUCCAUCACUGCAGCCGACGGUCCCCACAAAGACACCGAAACCUUAGUGUGUGUUCACAUAUCUUUGUGAGGA